UGUCGGUCCCCCAUAAUGCAAUGCUCCUGGCAAAGCCAAAUGGAAUGCCCCCGUUUAACACACUCACACACAAGGCACACAAACACGCUCACAAAGAGAGCAGGCGUCGAUCAGCAAUUAUAAAAGCCACACUAGUUAAAGCGGACAUGACUGAACCUUCCAGAGGUCUCUUUUACCUUCCUAUCAUCUAUCUAUGGACAGCAAUACAAAGCUUUGCACACAUCCUGUUGUUGGACAACUACAGAACAAGAUCUCUUUGCACCCUAAACAAAUUUCCUAUUUGCCUAAUUACCCUGGAUCAGGAGGGGUGGAGGCCGAUGUUCUGGCAUCUCUGGCCCCUCCGGUCCACCUGUCAGGGGAAAGGCUUGGCUGGACACUGCUGGUCUGUAUGGUGAGUGACUUCAGAAGAGGACGUCUGGAGGUCAGGUGGAGAUCAGCAUCAGAGGACCACAUGUCAACCGGACCAUACAGUAUCGCUGUAACCAGGAGGCAUCGCGGCCACAACGCUGUGGCAGUUAUAACAGUAGCGACCAGUGACUGGCCGUCAUACAGUUGCUCUGUGAGUCACAGACAUCGUUCAAAAGUCACGAGGACACACCUCACCACUUCAUCAGCUGAUCAUAACAAGAUUUGCUAUGAGGAUGAAGACAUAAAAGAUAUUGCUGUGAGGACAAACGCGGCGGUUGUACUGGCCCUGAGGCUUAUUCUCAUGAAGAUCCUCGUCUUUGAUGCUCUGGUGACCAUUUAUGUUGUUAUUAAGUGAUCGUUGGUACUGAAAGGUUUCUGAUGCACCAAGUGACCAUGAAAAGAAAACUAACCCCACAGAGGGGAACUUUUUCUUGUCUGAAGUCUCCACAGUGAGGACCGCUACAGUCGAAGAUGAUAAGUGUGUUCCAGUCUCAUGGUUUAUUUCAUGAAGACGGUUUUACUGUGAGAUUUUUGGAAAGUUUCCUGAAUCAAAUGGGAAUUGUUUCACUCUCAGGAUCACAGGAGUAGGUUUUGUAAUGCGACAAAUCCUUGGUCGCGCCUUUUUCAGCCGUCUCACACCGACUUCACAGGUGUUGCUGACUAUGGCAGUUGAAAACAGAACGAGUUUGUGAGGCCAAACCUGGUAUCUGAUUGAAGCCUAACCUCAGACAGACGGUUUAAUGCUCCUGCUGUUGCAUAUGUGUAUGUGCUUUUGUGAGACGAUAUGCGUGUCUAGUUGUAACCAUAAUACUGAAUUUCUUAAUUUACCAGAAAGAAAAUUGUGAGUGUUUGGAAGUUUCCACAUAAUUUCAUUUUUGAAAUAGCCUCAUUUUGCUUUUUAUAUUCUUCAAUGUAAAUUCAAUAAACACAAAGUAAGUUUGGAGUGUUUCGACUUUAUUGUUUUUUAAAUAAAACACUGGCAAACA
ensembl:lncRNA